UGAGGCUGUUAUUUAUGCAAGCCUCUAGGUUGUGUGUGUGAGAGAUUUCGUCUGUAAUAGCCUCCCAUAUUUUUCCACGAGCAUCUAGAGCACCAUCGUUAAACACACCCUGGUGAAAAAUAAAUGUGCCAAGUGUACUAAAAUUUAGCAUACUUUUGUGUACUUGAAGCCACACUAAUCAUCAGUAUACUUCAGGGCAAGAACUUGCCUUUAAGCCUGAAAACAAUUGGGGAAUACAAAAUGAGGACUGACUGUGCAGGUUGUAGGUGAGCUGGAGCCACACCCGGCUGACUUCUGGUGAGAGGUGGGGUUCACCCUGGACAGGUCACCAGACUAUCACGGGGCAAACACAGGGAGACAGCCAUUCACACUCACACCUAUGCCAAACCAGAGCACCCAGAGGACACCCACAUCAACACAAAGUGAACAUACAAACUCUACAUUGAAAGGCCUUUGGUCAACUGCCAGGUUUGAACCUGGAACCUGUUUGCUGUGAAGCCCCACUUUAAAGGAG